CAGGAUUAGCUAGUUGGUGAGGUAAUGGCUUACCAAGGCGACGAUCUUUAGUUGGUCUGAGAGGAUGAUCAGCCACACUGGAACUGAGAUACGGUCCAGACUCCUACGGGAGGCAGCAGUGGGGAAUAUUGGACAAUGGGCGCAAGCCUGAUCCAGCAACGCCGCGUGAGUGAUGAAGGCCUUAGGGUUGUAAAGCUCUUUUAGUGGGAAAGAUAAUGACGGUACCCACAGAAAAAGCCCCGGCUAACUUCGUGCCAGCAGCCGCGGUAAUACGAAGGGGGCUAGCGUUACUCGGAAUUAUUGGGCGUAAAGCGUGCGUAGGCUGCUUAGUAAGUCAAAAGUGAAAUCCUUGGGCUCAACCUAAGAAUUGCUUUUGAAACUGCUAAGCUUGAGUACUGUAGGGG
rnacentral:rRNA from 1 species